rnacentral:rRNA from 1 species
GCUGGCGGCAGGCCUAACACAUGCAAGUCGAGCGAGAAAGGUUUUCGGACUGAGUAAAGCGGCGGACGGGUGAGUAACGCGUAGGAAUCUACCCAGUAGUGGGGGACAACUUAGGGAAACUUAAGCUAAUACCGCAUACGCCCUGAGGGGGAAAGCGGGGGAUCUUCGGACCUCGCGCUAUUGGAAGAGCCUGCGUUAGAUUAGCUAGUUGGUGGGGUAAAGGCUCACCAAGGCGACGAUCUAUAGCUGGUCUGAGAGGAUGAUCAGCCACACUGGGACUGAGACACGGCCCAGACUCCUACGGGAGGCAGCAGUGGGGAAUAUUGCGCAAUGGGCGAAAGCCUGACGCAGCCAUGCCGCGUGUGUGAAGAAGGCCUUCGGGUUGUAAAGCACUUUCAAUUGGGAGGAAGGGUUUAACGUUAAUAGCGUUGAAUCUUGACGUUACCUUUAGAAGAAGCACCGGCUAACUCCGUGCCAGCAGCCGCGGUAAUACGGAGGGUGCGAGCGUUAAUCGGAAUUACUGGGCGUAAAGCGCGCGUAGGCGGUUUGUUAAGUCGGAUGUGAAAUCCCCGGGCUCAACCUGGGAACUGCACCCGAUACUGGCCGACUUGAGUGCGAGAGAGGGAGGUAGAAUUCCAUGUGUAGCGGUGAAAUGCGUAGAUAU